rnacentral:rRNA from 1 species
UACCAGCACCCCGAGUGGUCGGGACGUUUAUUGGGCCUAAAGCAUCCGUAGCCGGUUCUGCAAGUCUUCCGUUAAAUCCACCUGCUUAACAGAUGGGCCGCGGAAGAUACUAUAGAGCUAGGAGGCGGGAGAGGCAAGCGGUACUCGAAUGGGUAGGGGUAAAAUCCGUUGAUCCAUUGAAGACCACCAGUGGCGAAGGCGGCUUGCCAGAACGCGCUCGACGGUGAGGGAUGAAAGCUGGGGGAGCAACGG